UACGGAGGAUCCAAGCGUUAUCCGGAUUCAUUGGGUUUAAAGGGUGCGUAGGUGGAAUGAUAAGUCAGUGGUGAAAGCCUGCAGCUUAACUGCAGAACUGCCAUUGAUACUGUCAAUCUUGAGUACAUUUGAUGUGGGCGGAAUGUGUCAUGUAGCGGUGAAAUGCUUAGAUAUGACACAGAACACCGAUUGCGAAGGCAGCUCACAAAACUGUAACUGACGCUGAGGCACGAAAGCGUGGGUAUCAAACAGG
rnacentral:rRNA from 1 species